CAGGUGACUCGGAAGAAAAUUGAGUGUGUGCCUUUUUUGCUUCAUUAUGAAACAUAAUCAAGGUACUCUGAAGAUCAGUUGGGAGGUGCAGAUGUUGUGGAAGGCAAAACAAUUUGAGCUGCUGUGUUUACACAGCAAAGAAGGACUCCAAAGUUAAUACAGAAAUUUACUUUUAACAGCUUUAUAUACUAUUAAUUUUGUAAUCAUGGUCUACUGCUUGUCACAACCUGCCAAUCUAACUUGAGAAAUGUGCAAGUGUUCAGACAAAGAGCUUACUCCACCAGUCUAGAAGCCCAUUAGCAAGCUCAUGAUAGACUACUAUCACCCACCUGUGUGACAGGAAUGUAUAUUGGACUGUUGCACAACCUACCCAGACCUCUGCUAUUCCAAGGGAAACAGUGCACAAUGGGGAAGAAACAGUCUCAGCCUUACAUAUCAGAUUUUAUACUCCUAGAUAUUGCCAUUAAGCAAUGCAGCUUUUGAGUUACACUGAAUACUACCAAGAAUAAAACCAAUUCUCAACUAGUUUCUCAGUAACAGUCAAAAAUUAAUUUUAGUGUCAGAAAUUACCUAGAACAGAAGAGAGAGCAAAGCAGAGAACAACCUAUAUGACUGUAUAAAUCAAUGCUUCAUGCUUGAUUAGUAUGUGCUAUUUUUGUCCAUUCAUCCCAGAAAGGGUGUAGUUGAACUGCAGAAGGUUCAGGUUAGCGGAUACAUUACAAAGUACAAAAAACUUCUGUAUGUGAAAUGACUAAAGCAGGAUUAGUUUGAAAACAAGCUGACUCCAAAGAGGCAGAAGGUGCAGAGAUCUCCAGCACUGUCAGGGAUGCAGAGAGAAUAGAGAAGGAUCACUUUCUCCAUUGCUUCUGUGUGGGGGGAAUACAGAACCAAAUGGAACAAGUAAGAACUAGGUCCAGAACAAACAAAAUGAAAUGGGAAUAUUCUCCAUGCAAUGGGUAAUUGAACCAUGAAACUUCUUCCAAAAGAAUAUUGUAGAUGCUGACAAUUUGCAUUUUCAAGUGGAGAUCGGGAUAACUCUUAGAAGAAAAAUCCUUUGUUAAUUACUAAAUUUCAUUCUUACUAAUUUCAAAACCCUAUACAUCAGCCCUAAUGAUUGCUACAAUAUUGGAAACAUUUUGAAUUGAACAGGCAAGAAACUUUUUCCAGAUUCAAAGGAG
rnacentral:lncRNA from 7 species